UUUAGCAAUAGAACAUUGAGAGUGACGUACGGGUGCGUAACACGUAUGCAACCUACCUUGUACAGGAGGAUAGCUCGGGGAAACUCGAAUUAACCCUCCAUAAAAUGUUUGAGUGGCAUCACAAAGACAUUAAAACGCAAGUGGUACAAGAUGGGCAUGCGUCUGAUUAGUUAGUUGGCGGGGUAACGGCCCACCAAGACGAUGAUCAGUAGGGGACCUGAGAGGGUGAUCCCCCACACUGGCACUGAGAUACGGGCCAGACUCCUACGGGAGGCAGCAGUAGGGAAUAUUGGUCAAUGGAUGGAAGUCUGAACCAGCCAUGCCGCGUGCAGGAAGAAGGCGUUAUGCGUUGUAAACUGCUUUUGCCAGGGGAUAAAAUACCGGUGCGCCGGAAAUUGAAGGUACCUGGUGAAUAAGCCACGGCUAACUACGUGCCAGCAGCCGCGGUAAUACGUAGGUGGCGAGCGUUGUCCGGAUUUAUUGGGUUUAAAGGGUGCGUAGGCGGCUUAAUAAGUCAGUGGUGAAAUAUCUCAGCUUAACUGAGAGGGUGCCAUUGAUACUGUUGAGCUUGAGUACAGACGAGGUAGGCGGAAUUGACGGUGUAGCGGUGAAAUGCAUAGAUAUCGUCAAGAACACCGAUAGUGAAGACAGCUUACUAGGCUGUAACUGACGCUGAGGCACGAAAGUGUGGGGAUCAAACAGGAUUAGAUACCCUGGUAGUCCACACUGUAAACGUUGAUGACUCGAUGUUGGCGAUACACAGCCAGCGUCCAAGAGCAAUCGUU
rnacentral:rRNA from 1 species